ensembl:lncRNA
CAGCCAGUGGACCAUCUGACUUCAAGGACAUACCUGAAAAACAGACUGGAGUAGCUGGGAUGAGAGAGCGAAAGGAAAGGCAAUAGGAGAUAAGACUAAGAAACAUGAAGGAUCAUGAGAGACUACUACAAGCAACUAUACAGUAAUAAAAAGGACAACCUGGAAGAAAUGGACAAAUUCUUAGAAAGAGUUGUCACCUACAUGAGUCACCUGAAUAAACUUGAAAAAAGGGAGUAGUGUGUAUUUAAAUUUGCUGAGAGUAGAAUUUAAAUUUUCUCAUGGAAAGAAGAAAAACUACUGAAAGAAAAGAAAAGGGAAGAAAAGAAAAAUAAAUAUUCAAAGCAAUGGAUGUGUUAACUAGGUGAUGAGAUGCCUUCACAUGAUGUAUACAAAUAUCAGACCAACACAAUGCACAC